rnacentral:rRNA from 1 species
AUUGAACGCUGGCGGCAUGCCUUACACAUGCAAGUCGAACGGUAACGGGCCUUCGGGUGCCGACGAGUGGCGAACGGGUGAGUAAUACAUCGGAACGUGCCCGAUCGUGGGGGAUAACGAGGCGAAAGCUUUGCUAAUACCGCAUACGAUCUACGGAUGAAAGCGGGGGACCGCAAGGCCUUGCGCGGACGGAGCGGCCGAUGGCAGAUUAGGUAGUUGGUGGGAUAAAAGCUUACCAAGCCGACGAUCUGUAGCUGGUCUGAGAGGAUGAUCAGCCACACUGGGACUGAGACACGGCCCAGACUCCUACGGGAGGCAGCAGUGGGGAAUUUUGGACAAUGGGCGCAAGCCUGAUCCAGCCAUGCCGCGUGCAGGAUGAAGGCCUUCGGGUUGUAAACUGCUUCUGUACGGAACGAAAAGCCUUCUUUUAAUACAGGAGGGUCAUGACGGUACCGUAAGAAUAAGCACCGGCUAACUACGUG